rnacentral:rRNA from 1 species
GACGAACGCUGGCGGCGCGCCUAACACAUGCAAGUCGAACGGAGUCAAGAGGAGCUUGCUUUUCUUGACUUAGUGGCGAACGGGUGAGUAACGCGUGAGUAACCUGCCCUGGAGUGGGGGACAACAGCUGGAAACGACUGCUAAUACCGCAUAAGCCCACGGAUCUGCAUGGAUCUGCGGGAAAAGGAUUUAUUCGCUCUAGGAUGGACUCGCGUCCAAUUAGCUAGUUGGUGAGGUAACGGCCCACCAAGGCGACGAUGGGUAGCCGGACUGAGAGGUUGGACGGCCACAUUGGGACUGAGACACGGCCCAGACUCCUACGGGAGGCAGCAGUGGGGGAUAUUGCACAAUGGGGGAAACCCUGAUGCAGCGACGCCGCGUGGAGGAAGAAGGUUUUCGGAUUGUAAACUCCUGUCGUUAGGGACGAUAAUGACGGUACCUAACAAGAAAGCACCGGCUAACUACGUG